rnacentral:rRNA from 1 species
AUUGAACGCUGGCGGCAGGCCUAACACAUGCAAGUCGAACGGUAGCACAGGAGAGCUUGCUCUCUGGGUGACGAGUGGCGGACGGGUGAGCAAUGCAUGGGGAGCUGCCCAAUCGAGGGGGAUACCAGCUGGAAACGGCUGCUAAUACCGCAUACGCCCUGAGGGGGAAAGGUGGGGACCUUCGGGCCUACCGCGAUUGGAUGCACCCAUGUGGGAUUAGCUAGUUGGUGAGGUAACGGCUCACCAAGGCGACGAUCUCUAGCUGGUCUGAGAGGAUGACCAGCCACACUGGAACUGAGACACGGUCCAGACUCCUACGGGAGGCAGCAGUGGGGAAUAUUGCACAAUGGGGGAAACCCUGAUGCAGCCAUGCCGCGUGUGUGAAGAAGGCCUUCGGGUUGUAAAGCACUUUCAGUGGGGAGGAAGGGGCGAUGCCUAAUACGCAUUGUCAUUGACGUUACCCACAGAAGAAGCACCGGCUAACUCCGUGCCAGCAGCCGCAGUAACAC